GUCUAGAGCCAUACCACCCUGAACAUGCCUGGUCUGAUCUGAUCUCAGAAGCUAAGAAGGGUUGGGCUUGGUUAGUACUUGGAUGGGAGAAAAAGAACAGAAC
rfam:Ailuropoda melanoleuca scaffold280_9, whole genome shotgun sequence.